GGAGUCGCUGGGUAAUGCGCCAUGUGAGGCGCGGUGGGACUGUCGUUCCUGGACCAACGCCGAGACUUCCUAAAUCCCUCCGGAAAGGGAUGCGUUGGGCCUGUGAUCUGGCGACUAGGAGGGUCAGGAGUCCCAGUAGAGGGAAUCACGGGAAAAGAAUGAAAGAGGGAGGCGAGCCUGGCACGGCUUCCUGGAGAAACAAACUAAGCUAACAAAUUUUUCGGAUCCUUUGUGCAGCUAAUUUUACAGUACUGUUUCAUACAUCUUAUUAUAUUUGGACAUCACGGCCUGUUGAGUGGUCUCCCUCUCUGCUGCAAGCUCUGCUGUAAUCCAGAGACACUCAAUUAUCUCUGUAGGAUAAUUUAUUCAUUCGAUUAACAUACAUUACUACUAACUUUUUAUAAACCAGUACUGUUCCAAGCACCGGAGAUACAUAGCUAUGAACGAAACAAAUAUCCCUGCUCAGGGAAUUCACAAUAGAGUGAGGGGAAAUAAGCGAAUAAACAAUGAAUCUCUUGUUCUGAGGGAAGCCAUGUACAUCAUUAGCAGUUCUAUAAAGAGGAUCACAUGGCAAGAAACUGAAACAUUCUGCCAGCUGCCCUGUGAAAGAACUUGGAAGUAGACCCUCCAGCCCUAAUCAAGUCUUCAGAGACUGUACUCAGCCAACAAUUGACUGCAACCUCAUAAGAGACCCUGAGCCAGACCGCCCAACGAGAAACUACUAUGGAAAUUAUGUUAGACAAAAAACAAAUGCAAGCAGUUUUCUUAUUCGAGUUCAAAAUGGGCUGCAAAGCAGCAGAGACAACUUGCAACAUCAAGAGUGCAUUUGGCCCAGGAACUGCUAAUGAACGUACAGUGCAGUGGUGGUUCAAGAAGUUUUGCAAAGGAUGGCCAGG
rnacentral:lncRNA from 1 species